rnacentral:rRNA from 1 species
AUUGAACGCUGGCGGCAUGCUUUACACAUGCAAGUCGAACGGUAACAGGCCGCAAGGUGCUGACGAGUGGCGAACGGGUGAGUAAUGCAUCGGAACGUGCCCAGUCGUGGGGGAUAACGCAGCGAAAGCUGCGCUAAUACCGCAUACGACCUAUGGAGGAAAGCGGGGGACCGUAAGGCCUCGCGCGAUUGGAGCGGCCGAUGUCAGAUUAGGUAGUUGGUGGGGUAAAGGCUCACCAAGCCAACGAUCUGUAGCUGGUCUGAGAGGACGACCAGCCACACUGGGACUGAGACACGGCCCAGACUCCUACGGGAGGCAGCAGUGGGGAAUUUUGGACAAUGGGCGCAAGCCUGAUCCAGCAAUGCCGCGUGCAGGAAGAAGGCCUUCGGGUUGUAAACUGCUUUUGUACGGAACGAAACGGUCCUGGUUAAUACCCGGGGCUAAUGACGGUACCGUAAGAAUAAGCACCGGCUAACUACGUGCCAGCCGCCGCAGUAAGAC